rnacentral:rRNA from 1 species
AAUGGCAGUGGCGGACGGGUGAGUAACGCGUAGGUAUCUAGUCCUCGGUGGGGGGACAACCACGGGGAAACUGUGGCUAAUACCGCAUGAUGACUGAGGUCUAAAGGCGCAAGUCGCCUGAGGAGGAGCCUGCGUCCGAUUAGCUAGUUGGUGGGGUAAAGGCCCUACCCAAGGCUCCGAUCGGUAGCUGGUCUGAGAGGAUGAUCAGCCACACUGGGACUGAGACACGGCCCAGACUCCUACGGGAGGCAGCAGUGGGGAAUAUUGGACAAUGGGCGCAAGCCUGAUCCAGCAAUGCCGCGUGGGUGAAGAAGGUCUUCGGAUUGUAAAGCCCUUUCGACGGGGACGAUGAUGACGGUACCCGUAGAAGAAGCCCCGGCUAACUUCGUG